CCCAAAUACUCUGGGAUAGCUCAGUUGGUGGAGCAUGAGACUCUUAAUCUCAGGGUUGUGGGUUCAAGCCCCGCAUUUGGCA